CAAGGGGCAUUUCCUUCUGAGUGCUUGCAGACUGAAGAGAGGCCAGCCCCCAUUCCUGGGGCUCCCCGAGGAGCUGGCUUUCAGCAGGGUUUAGAGCAGCACGAAAAGUGAACUGACCCUGGAAAAAUGACUCAAAGCUGUAAAACUGCAAAUGGUUCCUCAUAUGGAGCCCCAGAUGCAGUCCAUGACUAAGAUCUACCACAGAGCCCUAGACCGGCCUGUUAGCCCAUGCUCCGAUGUUGAUGACAUCAAAGGCACACCUUCCGAGGAAAUCUCAACUGCACGACCCCUACUAAGCCCCAAUUCAGCAGGAAGCAGUUAAGAGCAGUCGUUGGCUAACAUCCCCAAUAGUAUGUGGGUUUUCCUGUUGAGAGGGGGGACUGAGAGACAGGACUAGCUGGAUUUCCUAGGCCAACUAAGAAUCCCUAAGCCUAGUUGGGAAGGUGACCGCAUCCACCUUUAAACACGGGGCUUGCAACUUAGCUCACACCCGACCAAUCAGGUAGUAAAGAGAGCUCACUAAAAUGCUAAUUAGGCAAAAACAAGAGGUAAAGAAAUAGCCAAUCAUCUAUCGCCUGAGAGCACAGUGGGGAGGGACAAUGAUCGGGAUAUAAACCCAGGCAUUCGGGCCGGCAACGGCAACCCCCAUUGCGUCCCCUCCCAUUGUAUGGGAGCUCUGUUUUCAUUCUAUUAAAUCUUGCAACUGCACA
rnacentral:lncRNA from 1 species